GAAGAAUUUAUCAGGAAGAUAUUAUCCAAGCCAUUUAAGGUCCCUAUACCUAAUUACAAAGGACCACUUGCUGGUAGAGCACUUGGAAUAAGGCGACAAGGUACAAGACAAUCUCUUCAUGAUCCCAAUGAAGAAGGGGCAUUAAUUCUCUACUCUCCUCCUGAGUUAUCUGCCCAUGAACAACUAAAGGCUGAUUUGGACAAGCAGCCAGUUCAUGUAGUGGUGGAUCCAGUGUUAUCCAAAGUCUUGAGGCCUCAUCAAAGGGAGG